ensembl:lncRNA
UGAAGCCAGGAGCAAAGCUGUAGAGGAACUGCUGCUCCCAGGACUCCAGCACAGGAAUGUGAGAUCUGUUGAAGUUUAAGUGAAGUUCUAUCAGGUGUCCUGUUCUUAGCCUGAAAGCGUAGAAUGAGAAAGUUGGUGAGAAAAGGAAAGAGACAAACGUGUUCUGGUUAAAUGCGAUUCUUGCUGGAGUACUCAGCUCUCAGGCCUCUAAGUCACAAAAACACACCUUAAAACCACGCAGACAAGUUGCAGUUAAAAACAUAGGCUCACUGGAAGAAGGAUACUGCACAGAGAGAAACGCUGAAAAAAUGAGUUUGCUCGAAAAGUUACAGAAGCUGAGUGUGCUGUGGUAGGCUGAGCCUGGCCAACAUCCAAGCACCCACACAGCCUGUUCGUUCUCUUCUCCUGUGGCAUGGAGACAAAGUAGAAG